rnacentral:rRNA from 1 species
AAUCAACGCUGGCGGCGCGCUUAACACAUGCAAGUCGAGCGAGAAAGGGGAGCAAUCCCUGAGUACAGCGGCGUACGGGUGAGUAACACGUGGGUAAUCUGCCUUUUAGUGGGGAAUAACCCUGGGAAACCGGGGCUAAUACCGCAUAAUCCUGUGAAGGGAAAGCAGCAAUGCGCUGAAAGAGGAGCCCGCGGCCGAUUAGCUAGUUGGUGAGGUAACGGCUCACCAAGGCGGUGAUCGGUAGCCGGCCUGAGAGGGCACACGGCCACACUGGCACUGAAACACGGGCCAGACUCCUACGGGAGGCAGCAGUGGGGAAUCUUGCACAAUGGAGGCAACUCUGAUGCAGCGACGCCGCGUGAGCGAUGAAGCCCCUCGGGGUGUAAAGCUCUUUCGGCAGGGACGAUAAUGACG